rnacentral:rRNA from 1 species
GACGAACGCUGGCGGCGUGCUUAACACAUGCAAGUCGAACGGUAAGGCCCCAGCUUGCUGGGGUACACGAGUGGCGAACGGGUGAGUAACACGUGGGGGACCUGCCCCGCACUUCGGGAUAAGCCUGGGAAACUGGGUCUAAUACCGGAUAGGACCGCACCGUGAGGGUGUGGUGGAAAGUUUUUCGGUGUGGGAUGGGCCCGCGGCCUAUCAGCUUGUUGGUGGGGUAAUGGCCUACCAAGGCGGCGACGGGUAGCCGGCCUGAGAGGGUGGACGGCCACAUUGGGACUGAGACACGGCCCAGACUCCUACGGGAGGCAGCAGUGGGGAAUAUUGCACAAUGGGCGGAAGCCUGAUGCAGCGACGCCGCGUGGGGGAUGACGGCCUUCGGGUUGUAAACUCCUUUCACCAUCGACGAAGGUUUUCUGACGGUAGAUGGAGAAGAAGCACCGGCUAACUACGUG